AACGAACGCUGGCGGCAGGCCUAACACGUGCAAGUCGAGCGCGCCCUUCGGGGUGAGCGGCGGACGGGUGAGUAACGCGUGGGAACGUGCCCUUUUCUACGGAAUAGCCUCGGGAAACUGAGAGUAAUACCGUAUACGCCCUUUGGGGGAAAGAUUUAUCGGAAAAGGAUCGGCCCGCGUUGGAUUAGGUAGUUGGUGGGGUAAUGGCCUACCAAGCCGCCGAUCCAUAGCUGGUUUGAGAGGAUGAUCAGCCACACUGGGACUGAGACACGGCCCAGACUCCUACGGGAGGCAGCAGUGGGGAAUCUUAGACAAUGGGGGCAACCCUGAUCUAGCCAUGCCGCGUGAGUGAUGAAGGCCUUAGGGUUGUAAAGCUCUUUCAGCUGGGAAGAUAAUGACGGUACCAGCAGAAGAAGCCCCGGCUAACUCCGUG
rnacentral:rRNA from 1 species